GUACUUAUUUUAGCCACUGGAGAAGUAGCACGGUGGAGGGAGACAUGCUAUUGAUCCUAUUUAAGUGAUCAUUUAAGUCCUGCUACUGUGUAUAUGUGCUGGGCAAUAAGUAAAGAUAACUGAUGAACAAUGAGUCUGUUUCUAGAAAAAGUCAUUUUGAUGUUUUUGGCAAAGAUAUUAAGUAGGAAUGAAAGAGAUUUUUUUUUUUUUUUUGUCUUCUACAGAUGUGCAAAAAGUAAUUCAUGCUUUUGGUUUUCAUUAUUAGUGAUGGUCCUGUAUUGAAGAUUGAAGUCUGCUGUUGGAGAUCAAACAGUUAAUAAAAGAUGAGAGAAACCUCUGGUUCAGAUUUGUUGACUCCAAAAACUACUGCUGAAGAAAACAGGACAUACCCCAAAUAUUGCAACAGCCCUGCAGGUGAGUUUUACCAUGGUAUUUUUCUAAAAAUGAAGUGCUUUUAUUUGAAGACAACAAAGUACAUAUUUGAAAAGAGUUGCCAUUAUUAAAACAUAAUUAAAGUUGUGAAGCCACUGAGCAUCUUAAAUUGUGGCACAGUACAAUAUUUAUCAGGCUUCAGAACACAAUCACAUCUACAGCCAUCCUGCCAUGUUUUGUUUUUUCACUCAGCAAGAUUACCCAUCUAUCACAGUUUAGUGGAACUCUUUAUGUGAUAUAUUCUGAGGUGGAAGAGUAGGGAUUAUAGGGUUGCACUGAAGACCAAGCCAACAAAAUGCCAAGAAAACACAUGCACUUAAGCAUUCCUUUAGAAAGAUUUUUUAUUUUUUUAUAUAUAUUUUUUUGCUGUUAAAGAAUAAUGGAGCUAAUAUGAAACUUUGACAGGCAUAAACCUAAUGAAUAAUUCUGAUAGUGCAAUCUACAGGUGACUCACAAGCAGUAAAUCGAAUGGUGUUAAUUUAAUGCAAGAAAUGAUCUUUAAAAAGCCAGAAAAAAAGGCAAAUGUAUAAUUCAUAUGGCUAAUAUUUGAGGUAUUUUGUACGCAAGUCUUCAUGUUUCCUGUGUCUACAUGUGCAUAUUCUUUUCACGUGGGUUAAAAAUAAAAAAGUACAAAUGACCUUCAGUUAAAAACUUGGCAACCAUUUCAAAUUCUACUUCUAAAUUUAACUUUGUCAUGUAUGCUUAUUAAGAAUAUAAUUCAUUGCCUAGGUAUCUGGUCUGAAAUACCAGUAUCUAUCAUAAAUGCUGGACAAUUUUUCAAUGUAUCUGCUUUCAGACACUGGCACAGUAUCAGCUUCAAUGACUAGGUUGAAUUCAGGUAUUCACAAAUGCAACCAUAGGCUUUUAAUGACAGAUUUGUGAAUCUGCUGACGAACUAUACUACGAAGUUCAAAAGAUUUAAUAUUAUUUUGAUUUUCUGUCAUAUUUAGAAGUUGAGUCAGAAAGAUCAUGUAAGCUGUGCCAAAAUCAGAACAAAACAUAGCCACCUUUACACAAGGAUGGCCUUAGCUUGCUGUUAAAAGUGCUGUAGUGAGUUUCCCUGUUUCAUUUUUCAAAUACUGCCACCACAUUUUUUUUUCCUAAGAAAUAAUUGCCUGUAAACAGAGAAGGGUUUUAACAUUAGAAACUCAUUACUGUUUAAUAGAUUUUUUGUAUGCUGUUAUUUUCUAUACUUUCAUGUGUCAGAAUACACACCUGCACUAAGAUCUGUGUUGCUCAUAAGUCAGGCAAUGAAUGCAAACAUACUAUCUCUGCAUAAGCCAAACUACAUGUAUGUGGAUGAAAUCCAAAUUUCCUUCCAAAUUUAAAAGCAGGAGCUUUAAAAUAGAGCAAUUUACCUAAUAGCUCAACAGAUUGAGGACUAAACACGUUACUGCAUUUUAGAGCUGAAGGCUCAAUUUCCAAUAGUCCCAGUCCAACUACCACAAUUUACAAAUAGUAGCUACAGCAGCAAUGGAAGAGAGAAUUGUGCUUGGUGUACACAACCCAGAAACUGAAAAUAUGCUUGAUUGGAGAAGCCAACAAUCUCUUAAAUGGUGGAAGAUUUUUGUUUGCUAAUUGUUUGCUAGUUGUGACCCUGCUGCAAAUGCUGCUUCCUCAAAUCAUUGCUCAUCUUCAGGUUGACCUUCAGAGAGCAGCAUGAGCCUCACCCAUCUGCCUCCACAAGCUCAGCCCUAAGUGUGGGAGCUUCACAGGUUCUCGAAGCAGUGCUUCCCAGCUGCUGGAUUGAAACCAGGAUGCAGUAAAAAAAGCUUUCCUUGUUAGUGGCACACUGGGAACCAUGUUGAGUCAUUAACAAGCAGCAGCUUAACAAGUGGGCAGAGCACAGGGCUGAGGUGGGGGAUGUGAAGCAGGUAAGAACUGUUUAGACUAAGCAUCUGAAAAGUGAUUGCUUGUUUCUGAGCAGUGGAAGGGGGACUCAAUAAUACGGAUCAUUUUUUUUCUAUGACUGCAAUGCAGAAGUUUCUUUGUGCUAAUCUUGGCACUGACAUUGAAAUUGAUGUGUGGCCUUUAGGCAAGUCACUUAAUCAAUGUGUUUGCAAAAUGAGGAUAAUAACAUUUAUUUGCCUGCCUGAAAAGGAUGCUGUAAGGACAGACUAGUUAAUGCUGUAAAAUGCUAUUUACUAACAAUUGCAAGUAUUAUUUUAUUACAGACUUAAACCCCUCCUUGACUGGCAAUUGAAAUAGCUAAAGAUCCAAAUAGCAGCCUGAAAUGUAAAGGUGACAGAGGUCUCGGCUAAAGUGGAAGUGGUUAAUCCCUUUCCUUUUUGUGGAGCUAAUUAGGCUUUAACUGUAGCAACAAAUACAGAAAAGUCCCAAGCAUGCAUGUGCUCUUAUUCAGGUACAGAAUGAAGAGAGAGACUGAGGGAAUCGUGUCCGAUUCACUGUGUAAUUUUCCACAGAUAAUAGGUCAAGCGAGGAGAUGGGUGCAACACAGAAAAAUACGCGUUGAAGCCUUUGUUCUGGGACACAGGUGUCAUCGGGUGUUCUGAGGGGGGGGGAGCACAGCAGAUAUGAGAAAAUUAGAUGCAUCAUUUCCAUUUUCAACUCAAUUAACAUCCUUGCUCUUCAGGAUUAAAUGAGUUUGGUAACUUGCCUUUAGGUAUGGCAGGUAAAGAAAAAAAAAGUCCUGAGGGUGAGAAGGAUGAAUAUAACGCUAUAGAGCAGCAGGAAGUAGAUUAGGAAACGAAC
ensembl:lncRNA